rnacentral:misc_RNA from 1 species
AGUAAGGCAUAGCAACGACCUUGCUCAAGUUUCUUCUAAAAGAAAUAUUGAAUCCUUAAGCCAUUCACAUAAUGACCUCCGCAAUUACUCUCUUUUGCACCAAGUGCAGGCGAUGAAUAGUGGUGCAGACAGUGCUUUGGAUGUUCAACGUGCUGCUGCUUUGGGGGGACAGCAUUUACAUGAUAUAAUUUCAAGGUUCAGACACCCUGUGGAUGGUAAAUCAAAUUCAACAUCACAAACCAGAUCAUUUCCAUCUGGUGAUAACCAAGUGCUUGGCUUCUUGGGAGAUGCAAGAGAUGGUCCAACUGUAAAAGCUCCGCAGCAGCCUGCCCUUGAAUCUAGAAAUUCUCGGGAAAUGGUCACAUUUGGUUAUAAUAACACUCAUACUCAAUCUAGCAGCAGCAAUGUG